UGAGGAACAUGACCUUCGGCGGGGGAUAGCCGGCCCAACGGCCGGGUAAUACCGCGUACGACCACAUGGGGACAUCCCUGAGUGGUGAAAGCAGCAAUGCGCCGAUGGAGUGCCUCGCGGCCUAUCAGCUAGUUGGUGAGGUAACGGCUCACCAAGGCGACGACGGGUAGCUGGUCUGAGAGGAUGGCCAGCCCACUAGUUGGGGACUGAGACACGGCCAGCUCCGUAGG
rnacentral:rRNA from 1 species